rnacentral:misc_RNA from 1 species
CUUUUCUUACUUCCGGUCUCAUGGUCGACACACACUGACAGUAUGAAACCAAUUCUCUUGCAUGGACACGAGCGGUCCAUCACUCAAAUCAAGUAUAAUAGGGAAGGAGAUCUGAUAUUUUCCUGUGCUAAAGACUCGCAGCCCAAUGUCUGGUACUCUCUGAAUGGAGAAAGACUGGGUUCUUUCAGAGGCCAUAAUGGCGCUGUGUGGAACAUUGAUGUCAACUGUAUCCUUUGUUACUAUAAAAUCAUUAUGAUCCUAUAAAGCAGUUUUUAUAUAAAAAAAAAAUUUUUUAAAUAUGUAGGAGUUCAAAUUGAAUAUGGAAAAAUGGAAGUCCUAGAUUAUUAGAUUCAAGAUGAACAGAGAUUUUAAAAAUAUUUUGUUAACAUGAUGAACACAAAUUCUGGUUUUCCUGAACUGCUUCCAGGGGAGUCAACAAAAGUGCUGACAGCAAGUGCAGACAACACCUGUAAACUGUGGGAUUGUGAAACAGGUAAAACCUUGGCUUCACUGGACACGGCGACAGCUGUCAGGACAUGCGGCUUCUCCUUCAGUGGCCGUUACAUCAUGUACACAACUGACAAAACAAUGGGACGACCAUGCGAAAUCCACAUCUUUGACUUAAAUGAUAUAAGGAAUGGUGAACCCACGAUGGUAAUUCCCAUCAGCAGCAGUAAGAUCACAUCAGCGGUGUGGGGGCCUUAUGAAGAGUACAUCAUCACUGGACACGAAAACGGAGAGAUUUGUCAUUAUGACCUUAAAUCUGGGGACAAAAUCAACAGCUGUAAAGAACACAGUAAGCAAAUCAAUGACCUCCAACUCUCCAAGGACAUGUCCAUGCUCAUUUCUGCCUCAAAGGAUACCACAGCAAAGUUGUUUGAGACGGCGACACUGGGCCACAUGAAGACCUACAAGACAGAGCGACCCGUCAACUCGGCCUCCUUAUCGCCUAUCUAUGACCAUGUCAGUAGUUUGGUGGUCUUCUGUUCAUUUCUGAUUUCAUUUAAUAUUGGUUGAAACAUGCUUUCUGAUUGGCUGAAAAAUUACUCUAUAUAUCAUGUAAAGAAUGUUGCCUUUGUUACAUAAGACUAAAGUCAAAAUGUAUUAAAGCCUGAUGUUACUUUUGAAUAUUGUACAAUUAAAUGUCAUCUUAAAAAUCAAAUAACAGAUCUUUUUCUACAGUUAAUUGCAGAAAAUUAAAUUAUAAGGAAUGAACUCAAUAGCUACCUAAUUUAUACUAAUCAUGGUUUAUAAUGAGUAAACUGUCCCAUGAAAAUCUUGUUAUAUUUUAAGAGGGUUGGUUUCAAGAGUUGUUUAAUUGAAUCUCAUUAUAAAUGUACAGUUACAGCAAUGGAAGCAUGACUGUAAACUUGACCUUUUUUUUUUUAACAGGUGGUGCUGGGUGGUGGUCAGGAAGCCAUGGAUGUCACCACCACAUCCACCAAAGUUGGCAAAUUCGAUGCCCGGUUUUACCAUCUCGUGUUUGAGGAGGAAUUUGGGAGGGUCAAAGGUCAUUUUGGUCCAAUCAACAGUACAGCAUUUCAUCCAGAUGGCAAAAGCUACAGCAGUGGAGGAGAGGACGGCUAUGUCAGAGUUCACUAUUUUGAUCCCAGUUACUUUGAUUUCCGCUUCGAGUUUUGAUCAAGAUCUGAACUAAGUGACUAUUUAUAGACUGCCAUUGUCAGUGAAGACCCUCUGUGACUCAUGUGGACCUUAGAAAAUAAAUCCUGGAAAUUC